rnacentral:rRNA from 1 species
GAACCAAUCCUAGCCCUGACAUCUACAAACAUAAUUAUAUAUUUACUCUUAAACCAAAACAUUUAUUUUCCCCUUAAAAGUAUUGGAGAAAGAAAUUAUUCCAUCAGGAGCUAUAGAGUUAGUACCGUAAGGGAAAGAUGAAAGAUUAUUUUAAAGUAACAAUAAGCAAAGAUUAAACCUUGUACCUUUUGCAUAAUGAGUUAACUAGAAAAACCCUAGCCAAAAGAACUUUAGCUAGAAACCCCGAAACCAAACGAGCUACCUAAAAACAAUUUAACGAAUCAACCCGUCUAUGUAGCAAAAUAGUGGGAGGAUUUUUAGGUAGAGGUGAAAAGCCUAACGAGCUUGGUGAUAGCUGGUUACCCAAAAAAGAACUUCAGUUCAACUUUAAAUUUACUAUAAGAACUACAAAUCAAAACGUAAAUUUAAAACAUAGCCAAAAGAGGGACAGCUCUUUAGGCAAAGGAAAAAACCUUAGAUAGUGAAUAAACAAUAUUAAACCAUUUAACCAUUGUAGGCUUAAAAGCAGCCAUCAAUAAAGAAAGCGUUCAAGCUCAACAUUAAAAACUCUUCAAUUCCAUAAAUCUCCAUAAAUUCCUAUUACAAUAAUUGGGUUAAUCUAUAAUCUCAUAGAUGAGACACUGUUAAUAUGAGUAACAAGAAUUAUAUUCUCCCUGCACAAGUGUAUGACAACCCGGAUAACCAUUGUCAAUUAUCAGAUCACAGGCAUUAAUCCCUCAAUAAAACUGCCUAAAACCAACCUGUUAAUCCAACACUGGUGUGCCCAAAGGAAAGAUUAAAAAAAAUAAAAGGAACUCGGCAAACACGAACCCCGCCUGUUUACCAAAAACAUCACCUCUAGCAUAACAAGUAUUAGAGGCAUUGCCUGCCCAGUGACUAAAGUUAAACGGCCGCGGUAUCCUGACCGUGCAAAGGUAGCAUAAUCACUUGUUCCUUAAUUAGGGACUAGAAUGAAUGGCUAAACGAGGGUUCAACUGUCUCUUAUCUUUAAUCAGUGAAAUUGACCUUCCAGUGAAGAGGCUGGAAUACCAUAAUAAGACGAGAAGACCCUAUGGAGCUUAAAUUAAUUAGUUUAAUUAUCACUAAAAUAACCCUAAUGGAUUAAAAACCAUAAUAUAAACUAUAAAUUUCGGUUGGGGUGACCUCGGAGAAUAAAAAAACCUCCGAAUGAUUUUAACCUAGACUAACAAGUCAAAGUAAUACUAAAUAUCUUAUUGACCCAAUUACUUGAUCAACGGACCAAGUUACCCUAGGGAUAACAGCGCAAUCCUAUUUAAGAGUUCAUAUCGACAAUUAGGGUUUACGACCUCGAUGUUGGAUCAGGACAUCCCAAUGGUGCAGAAGCUAUUAAUGGUUCGUUUGUUCAACGAUUAAAGUCCUACGUGAUCUGAGUUCAGACCGGAGCAAUCCAGGUCGGUUUCUAUCUAUUUACAAUUUCUCCCAGUACGAAAGGACAAGAGAAAUAGAGCCACCUUAACAAAAGCGCUCUUAACAUAACUUAUGAACAAAAUCUCAAUAAAAUACAUAUGUACAAUAAACCAAACCUAGACCAGGUUAU